AUACAAAAAGCAAAUCAUUCACUGGAUCCUAUCUAGUUAUUCUCUUUCUUUAAAUCUUAUCAUAAAAAAAAAAAAAAA
rnacentral:ribozyme from 1 species